AGUCGGACGGCAGCACAGAGAAGCUUGCUUCUCGGGUGGCGAGUGGCGAACGGGUGAGUAACAUAUCGGAACGUACCGAGUAGUGGGGGAUAACUGAUCGAAAGAUCAGCUAAUACCGCAUACGUCUUGAGAGAGAAAGCAGGGGACUUUCGGGCCUUGCGCUAUUCGAGCGGCCGAUAUCUGAUUAGCUAGUUGGUGGGGUAAAGGCCUACCAAGGCGACGAUCAGUAGCGGGUCUGAGAGGAUGAUCCGCCACACUGGGACUGAGACACGGCCCAGACUCCUACGGGAGGCAGCAGUGGGGAAUUUUGGACAAUGGGCGCAAGCCUGAUCCAGCCAUGCCGCGUGUCUGAAGAAGGCCUUCGGGUUGUAAAGGACUUUUGUCAGGGAAGAAAAGGCUGUUGCUAAUAUCAGCGGCUGAUGACGGUACCUGAAGAAUAAGCACCGGCUAA
rnacentral:rRNA from 1 species